CUGGCUCAGGAUGAACGCUGGCGGUCUGCUUAACACAUGCAAGUCGAACGCAACCUUCGGGUUGAGUGGCGGACGGGUGAGUAACGCGUGAGAAUCUGCCUUGGGGUCGGGGACAACCACUGGAAACGGUGGCUAAUACCGGAUAAGCCUUUGGGUAAAAGACUUAUUGCCCCAAGAGGAGCUCGCGUCUGAUUAGCUAGUUGGUGAGGUAAGAGCUCACCAAGGCAGCGAUCAGUAGCUGGUCUGAGAGGACGAUCAGCCACACUGGGACUGAGACACGGCCCAGACUCCUACGGGAGGCAGCAGUGGGGAAUUUUCCGCAAUGGGCGAAAGCCUGACGGAGCAAGACCGCGUGAGGGAGGAAGGCUCUUGGGUUGUAAACCUCUUUUCUCAGGGAAGAAGCUCUGACGGUACCUGAGGAAUCAGCCUCGGCUAACUCCGUGCCAGCAGCCGCGGUAAUACGGAGGAGGCAAGCGUUAUCCGGAAUUAUUGGGCGUAAAGCGUCCGCAGGUGGCGAUUCAAGUCUGCUGUCAAAGCACGGGGCUUAACUCCGUUAAGGCAGUGGAAACUGAAUAGCUAGAGUGCCGUAGGGGUAGAGGGAAUUCCCGGUGUAGCGGUGAAAUGCGUAGAGAUCGGGAAGAACAUCGGUGGCGAAAGCGCUCUACUGGACGGCAACUGACACUCAGGGACGAAAGCUAGGGGAGCGAAUGGGAUUAGAUACCCCAGUAGUCCUAGCUGUAAACGAUGGAUACUAGGUGUAGCUUGUAUCGACCCGAGCUGUGCCGAAGCUAACGCGUUAAGUAUCCCGCCUGGGGAGUACGCACGCAAGUGUGAAACUCAAAGGAAUUGACGGGGGCCCGCACAAGCGGUGGAGUAUGUGGUUUAAUUCGAUGCAACGCGAA
rnacentral:rRNA from 1 species